rnacentral:rRNA from 1 species
CUACGGGCCGCUGCAGUGAGGAAUAUUGCACAAUGGAGGAAACUCUGAUGCAGCAACGCCGCGUGGAGGAUGACGCAUUUCGGUGUGUAAACUCCUUUUAUAUGUCAAGAAAAUGACGGUAGCAUAUGAAUAAGCUCCGGCUAACUCCGUGCCAGCAGCCGCGGUAAUACGGAGGGAGCAAGCGUUACUCGGAAUCACUGGGCGUAAAGGACGCGUAGGCGGGAUAGAAAGUCAGGUGUGAAAUCCUAUGGCUCAACCAUAGAACUGCACUUGAAACUUCUAACCUAGAGUAUGGGAGGGGAAGAUGGAAUUAGUGGUGUAGGGGUAAAAUCCGUAGAUAUCACUAGGAAUACCAAAAGCGAAGGCGAUCUUCUGGAACAAUACUGACGCUAAGGCGUGAAAGCGUGGGGAGCGAACAGGAUUAGAUACCCUUGUAGUC